GGGUUAGUGUGGAUUUUUUUCAAGGCAGUUGGACUACUUUCAUGGCAGCUAAAGACUUCAAGAAUGACUAUUCUAGCUCUUCCAGUAUUUUGGCUUUGCAGACAAGUUGACUAUUUCCACAAGAGGUACCCAUCAAUGAAAUAUCCUGUUUUGUAGAUGUUAGUGUUUAUACCAUUAUUAAAUGAGUACAACCCUA